GGCUCAUUAAAUCAGUUAUCGUCUAUUUGAUAGUACCUUACUACUUGGAUAACCGUGGUAAUUCUAGAGCUAAUACAUGCUGAAAACCCCGACUUCGGAAGGGAUGUAUUUAUUAGAUUAAAAACCAAUGCCCUUCUGGGCUCCCUGGUGAUUCAUGAUAACUUCUCGAAUCGCACGGCCUUGCGCCGGCGAUGGUUCAUUCAAAUUUCUGCCCUAUCAACUUUCGACGGCUGGGUCUUGGCCAGCCAUGGUGACAACGGGUAACGGAGGGUUAGGGCUCGACCCCGGAGAAGGAGCCUGAGAAACGGCUACUACAUCCAAGGAAGGCAGCAGGCGCGCAAAUUACCCAAUCCCGACACGGGGAGGUAGUGACAAUAAAUACUGAUACAGGGCUCUUUUGGGUCUUGUAAUUGGAAUGAGUACAAUUUAAUUCCCUUAACGAGGAACAAUUGGAGGGCAAGUCUGGUGCCAGCAGCCGCGGUAAUUCCAGCUCCAAUAGCGUAUAUUAAAGUUGUUGCAGUUAAAAAGCUCGUAGUUGAACCUUGGGCCUGGCUGGCCGGUCCGCCUCACCGCGUGCACUGGUCCGGCCGGGCCUUUCCCUCUGGGGAGCCGCAUGCCCUUCACUGGGCGUGCCGGGGAACCAGGACGUUUACUUUGAAAAAAUUAGAGUGUUCAAAGCAGGCUUAUGCUCGGAUACAUUAGCAUGGAAUAAUAGAAUAGGACGUGCGGUUCUAUUUUGUUGGUUUCUAGGACCGCCGUAAUGAUUAAUAGGGACAGUCGGGGGCAUCAGUAUUCAGUUGUCAGAGGUGAAAUUCUUGGAUUUACUGAAGACUAACUACUGCGAAAGCAUUUGCCAAGGAUGUUUUUCAUUAAUCAGGAACGAAAGUUAGGGGAUCGAAGACGAUCAGAUACCGUCGUAGUCUUAACCAUAAACUAUGCCGACUAGGGAUCGGACGGUGUUAUUUUUUGACCCGUUCGGCACCUUACACGCAAAGUAC
rnacentral:rRNA from 1 species